AUGUAUAAGUGGCUUGACAGACCACUCAGUGGUUGUGAUUUCAAGUGGAUUUGGAAAGCCAAAAUCCCUUUGAAGAUUCAAAUCUUCUUAUGGCAACUCUCGCAUGAUGCAGUUCUCACCAGACAGGUGAUGAAACAACGUCGAUGGCCUAGGAAUCCUGUUUGCUCUUUCUGUCGACAAGUGGAGUCGUCUCAGCACCUAUUCUUCGAGUGCUCUGUCGCUAGGGUCGUGUGGCGUGCUAUUGGGGUCACUUUGGGCACUGACCUUUGUCCUUGCAACUAUUGGCAAUUUUUUACUUGGUGUCAUGCUUUUCUGCCUGGACAUGAAUCUUUCUACACAGUAGCUUUAGGCGCUGUCACUUGGUCUAUCUGGCUGGCCCGGAACAAGGCCACUUUCAAAAAGAAGAUGAUCAAAACUCCCUUUGAGAUUGUGUUUACGGCUGUUCUUUUCUUUUAUAUUGGGCAGGCCUGCAAGCAGGGGAUGACAUGA
rnacentral:rRNA from 1 species